rnacentral:lncRNA from 1 species
AGAUCCCCAAGCUCUCAGAUCAACUGCUCCAUCAUGGCCUGCAUGGAAAAGAAGGAUUUCCCCUCCCUCAGACCUUCUCACCACUGUCCUGGAGGCUCAGGACUGAGCCAAAGCUGGCUGCUGUCCGUCGGAUGGUUCCCCUCAUCUGCAGUUGGGUGUUGGAUCAGAGCCCGUCCCUGAAAAAUCAUAACUGUUAACAGAGGUGUCUGGGAGCGAUCGCAGCAGUGAUGGGAGAUGGAAGAGCACCAGCGGGGGCCUUUGUUACCGCGAGCCAAGGAGGAGUUUGGGAAGAGCCGCUCCAAAUCACCUGAUCUCCUGAUGGAAGAAUUGGAGGGGAGACCAGCAAAGGAAGGAGCUUUGCAGUUUCUACACUACCAGAGCAGCGAAUGUCACCUUGCUGACUCUUCAGAAGGAAGGAUGGCCUCGUGGUUGCCUGGGGCACAGCUGGGGGACCACCUCAGCCCUACGCAGGGCAGCCAUGCCUCUGCUCUGCUCACCGUGCUCUUUCCCAGGAGAGCAAGCAACCUUAGACUUGGAAGAAGGAGACACAAGGAAGGACCUGUGAAGAGAAGGGAUGAGUCUGGAGGAUAAAUCUAAGCAUCAAAGUUUUGUGAAAAGAGGUGGGGACAAAGGACUGCGCUCAGGUACCCAAAUGUACCGCACUACUUGAAGCAUCCUGAGGUAUGUGAGACAGCAGGCGUGGAUGGCAGAUGUGAGAAGAGACCUGGAGAACACCCAUACUCUUCCAGCAUGGCAAGUCCUCUAGAGGAUCUUGGAUGGACCCCAAGAGCUCUAACCCUCACACAUCAGGUGACAGCUCAGUACUGAAGGUAACCUCUUGUUUGCCUUUCUUCUGAGGCACUUCAGGGCUUCACCACCAACAGCAACAUCUGAUCUGGGGUCCCAAGUGGUCCCCUGGAGGCUCACUGCUCCUCUUCAGGUGCAAGGAUUCAGAGGUACAUCUGUGGUCACUCAGGGACUCCUUCCCUUCAUGUUGGCUCCUGGUUUUUAUUCCUUUCCUCCUGGGAAAGGCAUAGAGGCACCCCUGCCCUUUCCCCCACCCUCGGGGCUGCUUUGGGAUGGCGGGACAUGGUCAGCCUUUCCGGGGUCCGUGUGAAAGAAGUGAAACGGGAACAUGAAGGUGGUAAUGGAGUGGAAGCAAAGCAGGGAAAGCCUUGCUGAUGGAUUAUUAGGCACUGUCAAAGUUUCAACAGAGUGGAAAACUUGGAGGCCAAAGUGAGUAGUAACCCUUGAAAAAUCA